UAUAUAUAUAUUUGGCUUGUAAAUCAAAAAACUUACUUCCAAAUUUUCAUCUAAAAUUACUAUGAAUAUUAGAAAAUCAUUGCCAAUCACCGGCUUCUCCACAUUUCAAUUUAGGCAUAUUUGUUAUAACAUCACACUUUUCGGCCUUCAUAGGCAAUAGAGUGCCUUGAAAAGAGGAUUAAUUCCAAAUACUUAAAAGAAACAUUAACAUGCCCUAAAUUCAGAAGAUAAGUAUUCUUUUUAGUAACCUGAUUUGGAUGGAAUUCUCCUUGACCUGAUUCAGAAAAUUUAACUACGGUUUGCUCUUUAACAGCUAUGGGAGUUAAAGGUAAGUGGUGGAAAGUUAAGGAUUUUACAAAGUUGACAAUGUAAUAGAUAAAGGGAUAAUUUGGUCAACUCUUGCAAUAGAUAAAGGUUUAACUCAUUGGCGUGAUCUCCUUUUGUGCUCCGUUAUUAGACGUGCAAAAGAGAAUAACUUUGCUUUUAUUCAUUACACUGUAUUCUCUUAUGGAUUGAAAGCCACGCUAAAAAUCCGUUUCCUUUUCAAUGGUGAAUAUUUUGCUGAUGCUUUUUGCAAAAUUCAUGGUAAUGUUGUUGCUAGCUAUUGUAAAUAUGGGCGUAAAAUGUCUUAUGAGAAAUUAUAUUACCGGAUUGUGCUUUUUGAAGAAAAUUAUUUACAAGUGCCAUGUAAGGAAUUUGACAUGGAACUUUUAAGGAAUGUGGUUGGUGUUCCGCGUAAUUCGUUGCUGUGUAUCCUAACCCUUUUAAAAGCAAGAGAUGGCUUCCAAUUUUCCUAAAGAAUAGUGGAGUUACGAGCCUGCCCUUGAAUUCGUUCAUGAAUUACGACCUCAACCUUAUGACUUUGUCUGCAAAAAGAAAAAUGCUUACUUCUUUCUUCGUGCUUCUGCUUUCCUCUCUCCCCUCCCAUGCCAUUGGUACCUCCGCCCUCUUCUCUCCCAUGGCUUUGGUACCAAAAAAAAUUCUCUUUCUUUUAUCUUUCUCUGGGUUUGAUUUCAUUUUUAUUGCACAAAUCGAUUUCCGCAAAUACUCUAAUUUGCUGAUUCAAAUGACUUUGAGAGAGUUUGAGGCGAAAGAUUAGGGUUUCAAAAUGUGAUGGAUCGGGGCUCGCAUUCAUUUGACUUGGAUGGCGUUGAGGAAGGGUUUAUCAGUUCGAGCAUCAAUGGCGCCUACUGCUAAAGUUUGGUUUGGUAUCUUCAAUGGACAGAGACAAAAAUAAAAUUCUUUCAAGAUACAAAUCACAAGUUCUCUGAAUCUGGGGCUUUACGGUAAUUUGAACAUUUUCAGUGGGUCAUCAUCAAUGUCCUCUCCUACAGAGUAUACCCCAUUUCUCAUUCUUUACGGUUUUAAAUUCCGAUCUUUGAUUAAAGGAUGUAUUUCUUGAUUAUUUAUGAUUUCUGGAAUUUUGUUAAUUUGGGUUAAAAUGUUUGAUUUUGUGGUAGAAAUGUGGAUUUGAGUGGACUGAAACUUCUUGCCAAUGAAUUCCUAACCAUUUCUAUAUCUUUCCUGUCAAUUUUGUGUGUUUUGGCUUCCUUCAUUGUAUUCCGUCCUUUAUCUUUCCUUCUGGUUUGCAGAUCUAUCCCACGGGAGUUGGCUAUUAUUGGUUUGUUUGAUUGAUUGUCUUUUGUGGUUGAUUUGUUCUGUAGUUGAUACUUGGCUUCUUAAUUGAAUGGAUUAGUCACUUCUCAUCCUUCGUCGUUUGCUCGGUGAAAUUUAUUCACAAUUUUGGGGAAAUCUUUGUAUAUCAUUCAUUUCAUUAAAUCACCGUCCUGGCUUACUCACACAGGGGGCAUGUUCUUCGAAUUUCGAAUUUUAAGGAUGAUUCAAGCCGUUUAGCUUGGGGUUGUUCUGAUUGGGUUCGUAAAUAUGCACUCUUCCUUAAAGAGUGCAGCGUGGUUAACAAGAUCUUGAGCGGGUGCAAGUAAGGUACACGGUAUAACCCGGCUAUGGGCCUCUGAGGAGUUACUGGACCAACGGCCAGCCCUCCAACAGCUUUUUUCCAGGUUGAUGUGUUGUCAGGAGUAUCCAGAGAAUGAUGGAUCCUCAAACAAAAGUGAAGAACCUGAAAAUGACAAAAUCAAGAGGAAGAAGAGGAAGAGAAACCGGAAGAGCCAGAAGAAAAAAUGAUAACCAGUUUGGAAAAGUUGAAAGGAAAGAAAGACUUAUCAUCACCAAUGGAAAGAAAUGUAGUGCAGUCUAUCACGGCUGGUAUCCUGUGGCUGCAACGAUCACAAUGGAGCCAGCAAACUCGUUCAAAUUGUUUUCUGAAGGUUGUGUCAGUUGCAUUAUCAAUUGAUGCAGUUGCUUCAUCAAGAACCAACACUCAAUGGAAAAAUAUCUUGAUUGAAUUGAGAGAAUGAAAAGGGAGCUGCAUGGAGAGGGAGAUUACAGAUCGAGGCCAGCAGAAGCUCUCGGGAAGAGGCGUCUUAGGAUCUCCCUGCAGCCAUUGCACAGAAGCCCAAGGAACUCAAGUCGCUUUCUGUUGAGUGCAACCAGGGUCUUAAAAGGGAUGCAAGGAACUUCGCAGGACACAGGGCUUACUUGCGUCACAGUACUUGGAGGAGGUGGGAGGAAGGAGGGGAGAGAGAGAUGUUGCUACGGGGUGUUGUAAAUUGUCGGUAGAGCCACAAAGGGAUGCAAGGAACUUGGCAGGGACACGGGGAUCGCGACACUGACUCGAAUUGUUGUUGUAAUGACAGUAGUUAAGCUACAGUGACUGAUUUCGGUUCUGUGCUAGACUGCUCGAAUUAUGUGUGUUUAUCGUGCCUCUAAAAUUGAUGGCUUACAUUGUCAACAUAUUUAUGGUUUUGUAUUGUCUGUUACAUGUAAAUCCAACUUUAUUAUCUAUUACAUGUAAAUCCAACUUUAACAUAACAUUUACCUUAAAACAUAAGUGUUCGUCUUUCA